GUUUUCAUCGGUCCAAUGGUUAUGAUUUCUGUCUUACACACAGAAGGUCUCCAGUUCGAUCCUGGAUUGGACCA